rnacentral:rRNA from 1 species
UGAGCAAUCUGCCCUUCUCAUCGGAAUAAGCGUUGGAAACGACGUCUAAUGCCGAAUACGACCUCCUUUCGCAUGAUCGGAGGUGGAAAGCUCCGGCGGAGAAGGAUGAGCUCGCGGCCUAUCAGCUAGUUGGUGUGGGUAAUGGCCCACCAAGGCGACGACGGGUAGCCGGCCUGAGAGGGUGACCCGGCCACACGUGGGGCUGAGACACGGCCCAGACCUCCGUACGGGAGCA